CGGGGAUAGGCCAGCAUCCGGUCCGAAGCGAGCCGAACCCUGUCAUCAAACCUAACCGCGGCCCAGAAUCAGGGAAAAAGCUCCAACUCAGAUUUAGUUUCCCUUUUGUUUUUAUGGAGCAGUGACAACAGCCACUCUGCCUUGUGACAUUGCAAGAGCCAAAGAAAAGAUUUCUUCUGACCUUCCAAGAUCCGAAGAGGCCAG